UGUACGGAUGAUCGCAAAACUGAGGUGUA
rnacentral:piRNA from 1 species